rnacentral:rRNA from 1 species
GACGAACGCUGGCGGCGUGCCUAAUACAUGCAAGUAGAACGCUGAAGAGAGGAGCUUGCUCUUCUUGGAUGAGUUGCGAACGGGUGAGUAACGCGUAGGUAACCUGCCUUGUAGCGGGGGAUAACUAUUGGAAACGAUAGCUAAUACCGCAUAACAAUGGAUGACACAUGUCAUUUAUUUGAAAGGGGCAAUUGCUCCACUACAAGAUGGACCUGCGUUGUAUUAGCUAGUAGGUGAGGUAACGGCUCACCUAGGCGACGAUACAUAGCCAACCUGAGAGGGUGAUCGGCCACACCGGGACUGAGACACGGCCCAGACUCCUACGGGAGGCAGCAGUAGGGAAUCUUCGGCAAUGGGGGCAACCCUGACCGAGCAACGCCGCGUGAGUGAAGAAGGUUUUCGGAUCGUAAAGCUCUGUUGUAAGUCAAGAACGAGUGUGAGAGUGGAAAGUUCACACUGUGACGGUAGCUUACCAGAAAGGGACGGCUAACUACGUGCCAGCAGCCGCGGUAAUACGUAGGUCCCGAGCGUUGUCCGGAUUUAUUGGGCGUAAAGCGAGCGCGGGCGGUUUGAUAAGUCUGAAGUUAAAGGCUGUGGCUCAACCAUAGUUCGCUUUGGAAACUGUCAAACUUGAGUGCAGAAGGGGAGAGUGGAAUUCCAUGUGUAGCGGUGAGAUGCGUAGAUAUAUGGAGGAACACCGGUGGCGAAAGCGGCUCUCUGGUCUGUAACUGACGCUGAGGCUCGAAAGCGUGGGGAGCGAACAGGAUUAGAUACCCUGGUAGUCCACGCCGUAAACGAUGAGUGCUAGGUGUUGGAUCCUUUCCGGGAUUCAGUGCCGCAGCUAACGCAUUAAGCACUCCGCCUGGGGAGUACGACCGCAAGGUUGAAACUCAAAGGAAUUGACGGGGGCCCGCACAAGCGGUGGAGCAUGUGGUUUAAUUCGAAGCAACGCGAAGAACCUUACCAGGUCUUGACAUCCCGAUGCUAUUUCUAGAGAUAGAAAGUUACUUCGGUACAUCGGUGACAGGUGGUGCAUGGUUGUCGUCAGCUCGUGUCGUGAGAUGUUGGGUUAAGUCCCGCAACGAGCGCAACCCCUAUUGUUAGUUGCCAUCAUUCAGUUGGGCACUCUAGCGAGACUGCCGGUAAUAAACCGGAGGAAGGUGGGGAUGACGUCAAAUCAUCAUGCCCCUUAUGACCUGGGCUACACACGUGCUACAAUGGUUGGUACAACGAGUUGCGAGUCGGUGACGGCAAGCUAAUCUCUUAAAGCCAAUCUCAGUUCGGAUUGUAGGCUGCAACUCGCCUACAUGAAGUCGGAAUCGCUAGUAAUCGCGGAUCAGCACGCCGCGGUGAAUACGUUCCCGGGCCU